ACCGACCCCGAGACUCACGUCAAGGAAAUAACCGACAUCACCAAGAUCCGUAUCCAAUACGCCGACAAGCAU